rnacentral:tRNA from 1 species
ACCUGACUGGCUCAGUCGGUAGAGCAUGUGACUCUUGAUCUUGGGGUUAUGAGUUCGAGCCCCACCUUGGGUA